UCCUCGGUAGUACAACGGCCAGUAUUCCCGCCUGUCACGUGGGAGAUCGGGGUUCGAUUCCCCGCCGGGGAG